rnacentral:rRNA from 1 species
AACGAACGCUGGCGGCAUGCCUAACACAUGCAAGUCGAACGAGACCUUCGGGUCUAGUGGCGCACGGGUGCGUAACGCGUGGGAACCUGCCCUUAGGUUCGGAAUAACUCCCCGUAGGGGGUGCUAAUACCGGAUAAUGUCUUCGGACCAAAGAUUUAGCGACUGUGGUUGGGCCCGCGUUCGAUUAGCUAGUUGGUGAGGUAGAAGCCAACCAAGGCGACGUUGGGUAGCUGGUCUGAGAGGAUGAUCGGCCACACUGGGACUGAGAAAAGGCCCAGACUACUACGCGAGGCAGAAGUGGGGAAGAUUGCACAAUGGGCGGAAGCCUGAUGCAGCAACGCAGCGUGAGGGAAGACGGCAUUCGGGUUGUAAACCUCUUUUAGCAGGGAAGAAGCGAAAGUGACGGUACCUGCAGAAAAAGCGACGGCUAACUACGUG